GCCCAGGGAAGGCGGCGGCGGGGGCGGUGGGUCCCAGGUCGCUCCGCAGGACAAGCCCUUCGGGGGUCACUGUCACCUAGGCCAUAGCAGGACAGAGAUAGAGAAAUUCAUGCAGGUGAAUUCAAGGAUGGAGGUGAUCUGCUGUUGAUAGCAACAAAGGAACCUGGGAACAAGACUCCAUGAUGCCAUCCAGUGCCUUCCAACUUGGACAAUGCUCUUGCCUUUGCAAAAUGUGACAUGCAAAACUUUCCUGGGCAUGUUGGCCAGCUUCCCUGCGGGCAGUAUGGAGACCUGAGAAAACUUUCUUUAGACUUCAAGGCUUUUCUGCAGCUAGGGCCUGAAGACAUUCUGAUCACAGCACCCAAGCCAGGCCCUGAGGGUUGACCUCCUACAGAUGUUAUGAUGGGGGUCUGCACUUCUGUUGACAUUACUAGGAGUGAGGGAGCCUGGGGAGAUGGCAGUUCUACACAGGGUUACAGGGGCAAGAAGGCAUGAGGACAGAGCCCCCGAAGGAGAGAGGGGAGCCAAAGUAGAGAGGCAGUGUCAGCUCUGCCUGCAGACCCUGAAGCUACACAAGACUCCUCUGUUGAGUUCUCACCAACACCUGUUCUGUGACAGCUGCAGACCCAGGCAUGAGUACCCACAACUGGCCCCUGGGCCUCUGGGACUAGAUGCAGGAGAGAAACGGGCAAGCUCUGGGAUUUCUGGACAGGGCCUGGGGUGGGGGGCGUGGUCCACAGCACCUCAUUUGGGGUCCUCCUGAGGGAGAGCAGACAAAUGCAAAGCCACAGGCCAGAUGGACACAUGGUAAAAUGGAGAAAUCCUCAAUUACCAACUGAGCGAGAGAAGUGAGGCAGACAGAGACGUGCAGCACAAUGACAUUUAUGUACAACAAAAACACAGGUGUGUGAGAAGACAAUGUGCACUGGCAGGACAUGUGCAGGGAAGAGGUUUGCUCGGAUGGCCUGGGCGCUGCUGAUCGGGAGAGGGAACGGGACAGGAGCGGGUGUGUGUGGGGGGGGUGGGAGCAGGGCUGGGUGGAUGCGACACUCUGAGUCCAAAAGGAAAAAGAAGCGCCAUCCUGGGCACCGGGCCACGGAGUCACUGGCCAGAACCCAAACCCGGCAUCUGCUCCCCCCAACCGGCAGCCACUCGCUCUUAGGGGUGAGGCCCGUCCCCUCACCUUCCUGCUGCGACAUCUGUGUGAGGUCCUCCACCAGGCUAGCGGCCUCUCUGCAGGUGCGAGGACCCUGCGACUGCACCCAGGUCCUCAUCUUGCUGGGCAGCGCACCCAGGAACUGCUCCAGCACCAGCAACUCCAGCAUUUGCUCCUUGGAGUGCGCCUCAGGCCGCAGCCACUGGCGGCACAGCAUCCAGAGCUGGCCCAGUGCACGGUGUGGCCCACCUGCCACGCGGUACUGGAACUGUCGGAAACGCAGGCGCCAGGCCUCAGCAUCCCCGGGGCUGGCCAGCUGAGAAGCCCUGUCCUGCUCCCCCAGGGCUGAGGUCUGGGGACUCCUGGGGGAGGCAAGGGCUUUGGCCAAUGGGAGCAUCUCUCCGGCCUCAGAGGGCAAGCAGGCUGGAUCCCAGGACAGUCCCAGCAGCUCCAAACACAGGUAGCAGCAGGCAGAUGCAGUCAGCAGUCAGGGGCCUGCAGAGAGGGGCAGGCGCAAAGUGGCCACAUCAGAUGGUGGCCAACACCUUGCUCAGGACUCCCCUCAGCUCCCCACCUCCUUGCCCUGACCCCCAGUUACAAGUUGCUGACCUGAGCCCUCCCCAUCUCAUUCUGACCUAAUCUUCCAUAUGACCCUCAUGGGCUACAUUGUGUUGAAGACGAGGAACUGGUCACCACAGAGUCUUACCCACUGUUCCCACCCAUACUCCUCUCUGAUGUUGAUCCCAGCUCAGCUGUUACCACAGCAGGAUGCCACCAUGCUCUGGCUCAGGCUGUCACACUUAUCUCAUCUUCACUGUGCUGUCUUCAUGACUCUUACCUGAUCGGGAACAGAUCUCAUUUCCUUACUUAGCUUAGUGUACAUCUCCCUCCUUCAUUUAUUUAGUCAUUAACAGUUUCCUGAGCAUCCAAGGGAAUAGGAUUCCUGCCUUGGUGGAGUAACCAGCACUGUCCAGCAGAACUUCCUAUGGGGUCGGAAAUGCUCUCCAUCUAUAUCAUCCAGUUUGGUAGCCACCGGCUGUAUUAUGUGGCUCCUGAGCACUUGAAAUAAGGAACUAGACCCAGCCAGAUAUGCUAUGUAAUAGUGCAAUAGAGGCCCUCUGCCUGGCUAUGCUGUCUUUCUUGCCUUUUCUACCAAGUUAAGACUGAAGGAGGAGGUAGUUGAGGACAAGGGGGUAGAGACUUUAAAAGCAGAGGGAAAGUGGGAAGGGCAGUGGAAAAAAAUAGCAUUUUGUGCGUUUUCCAAGCUUCCUACGCUGAACAUAUAACUGAAGAAAAUUUUGAAAAUGUUAAAGUUGUAAAAAUUAAAAUGAGAUUUUUUUCUAUACUUGUA